rnacentral:rRNA from 1 species
AACGAACGCUGGCGGCAUGCCUAACACAUGCAAGUCGAACGAGACCUUCGGGUCUAGUGGCGCACGGGGGCGUAACGCGUGGGAACCUGCCCUUAGGUUCGGAAUAACUCCCCGAAAGGGGUACUAAUACCGGAUAAUGUCUUCGGCCCAAAGAUUUAUCGCUUUUGUAUGGGCCCGCGUUGGAUUCGGUAGUUGGUAGGGUAAAAGCCUACCAAGGCGACGAUCAAUAGCUGGUUUGAGAGAAUGAUCAGCCACACUGGGACUGAGACACGGCCCAGACUCCUACGGGAGGCAGCAGUGGGGAAUAUUGGACAGUGGGCGAAAGCCUGAUCCAGCAAUGCCGCGUGAGUGAUGAAGGCCUUAGGGUUGUAAAGCUCUUUUACCCGUGAUGAUAAUGACAGUACCGGGAGAAUAAGCUCCGGCUAACUCCGUG